rnacentral:rRNA from 1 species
UACGUAGGGUGCGAGCGUUGUCCGGAAUUAUUGGGCGUAAAGGGCUCGUAGGCGGUUUGUCGCGUCGGGAGUGAAAACCCAGGGCUUAACUCUGGGCUUGCUUUCGAUACGGGCAGACUAGAGGCAUGCAGGGGAGAACGGAAUUCCUGGUGUAGCGGUGGAAUGCGCAGAUAUCAGGGAGGAACACCGAUGGCGAAGGCGGGUCUCUGGGCCGAUACUGACGCUGAGGAGCGAAAGCGUGGGGAGCAAACAGG